GGAACAAGGCGGGAGGGAAAGAGAGAGCCAGGGACAACAGCGUCACAUUAGAAAGCUGUCCUCUGUCAGAUGUUCUGUUGACCCACUGAGAGAGGCAUCAUUUCAGAAACAUCAGACAGACUGAAGCUCAUGGUCAAGGAGGACCUAAUGAUCUUCACCAGCAGCUCCCUCACAGGAAAUCUUCAGCAGCUCCUGUAAUCACAAAGAGAACAGAACCAUCACAAACUCAAAUAUACAUUUUAUCCCUCAAAAUUGAAAUAAAGCUGAUCCUUCUCUGUCCUCACACACUCAGGAUCUGAAGCUCUUCUCUUACAUUUUUUCAGUUCUACAGUUUAAUCCAUAGUUACUGAUUAAUUAGGAGUUACUGAAGUACAAGCUUU